AAGUCGUAACAAGGUAACCGUAGGUGAACCUGCGGUUGGAUCAUUAAAAAGAUCUUGGCCUGCACCUUCUUUCUGGACUGCUUGCGGACCAUGUUGGAAGGAUGAGGCUAAGUUCCCCGAAAAUGGGAACUAACAUCAUGUGAACUGUUCUGUCUCUGGCGGUGGGAUGGCUAAACACCAUCUGUCAGCAUCCGAGGUUUCCUCAAUGUGCCGUGGACAAGCCGCCAACGGUGUAUGUUUCAUACAAACUUUUUGUUUCAUUAAAAUUGUCUGACCUACCUUUGUAUCAAAAAAAUACAAAAACAACUUUUGGCAACGGAUCUCUUGGCUCCC
rnacentral:misc_RNA from 1 species